CUGAGCCGCCCGCGCUGGGACAGAGCUAGGCAGAGGCGCAGCCUCUCCAGGGUAUGAAGAACUGGGGAUUCCUGGAGCAGAAGUGGGAAGACCUAUGAAGACUAAAAUGUGGGGACCCCUGGGACUUAAACAAGCCCUCCCAGGCCAAGAAGCAGAAAAAGUGGGGGCGUGCCCGGAGCUGGCGGAGGACGUGAACUGCACGCAGGAGUGCGCCUCGGACAGCGAGUGCCGCGACAACCUCAAGUGCUGCCGGGCUGGCUGCUCCGCCGCCUGCACGAUGCCCAAUGAAAAACAAGGUUCGUGUCCCAAGAUAGACAUCAGCUACCCCCAGCUUGGCCUCUGCAUAGACCAAUGCCACACGGACAGCGAGUGUCCUGGCCAGAUGAAAUGCUGCCUCAAUGGCUGCGGGAAGGUGUCCUGCGUCACACCCACCUUCUGAGGAAGAGCCAGAAGGCUGAGCCCAGUGAGCAAAGGGCAGAAUUAAGAAGAGCCUGCACAAAGUCAGGUGGAGCGGGACGGCUCAUCUGGGGCCUCACGGACCAUUGUAGGGAUGUUGGUCUUGACCUGGAGAUGCUGCACGCUUGGAAAGGGACCUGCUCGAACACUGUCGAGGACCGCUCUGGCUGCUGUGUAGGGAGCAGGCUGCAGAGCGGCAGAUGUAGGGAGAGGCACUGGGAGGCUCCUGCAAGAGACCAGCCUCAGCCACCACCAGCCCGAGGAGCCGGUAGGGGACCGUUCUGCCUGGCCCUGCAUCUGGCUCCAGCCCAGCUGCACCCCUCUUUCUGGCCUCUACAUUCCCUCCUGGGCCAACCACAGCGUCUCCUUUUCCAACCAAUAAAGCGACUGCUUUCAGCA